rnacentral:rRNA from 1 species
AUACGUAGGGGGCGAGCGUUGUCCGGAAUGAUUGGGCGUAAAGGGCGCGUAGGCGGCCCGGUAAGUCUGGAGUGAAAGUCCUGUUUUUAAGAUGGGAAUUGCUUUGGAUACUGUCGGGCUUGAGUGCAGGAGAGGUAAGUGGAAUUCCCAGUGUAGCGGUGAAAUGCGUAGAGAUUGGGGGGACCACCAGUGGCGAAGGCGCCUUACUGGAGUGUAACUGACGCUGAGGGGCGAAAGUGUGGGGAGCAAACAGGAUUAGAUACCCUGGUAGUCCACACUGUAAACGAUGAAUGGUAGGUGUAGGGGUUAGCGACCCCUUCUGGGCCGCAGUCAACACAAUAAGCAUUCCGCCUGUGGAGUACGGCCGCAAGGUUGAAACUCAAAGGAAAUGACGGGG